rnacentral:rRNA from 1 species
AUUGAACGCUGGCGGCAGGCCUAACACAUGCAAGUCGAGCGGUAGCACGGAGAGCUUGCUCUCGGGUGACGAGCGGCGGACGGGUGAGUAAUGUCUGGGAAACUGCCCGAUGGAGGGAGAUAACUACUGGAAACGGUAGCUAAUACCGCAUAACGUCGCAAGACCAAAGAGGGGGACCUUCGGGCCUCUGGCCAUCGGAUGUGCCCAGAUGGGAUUAGCUAGUAGGUGGGGUAACGGCUCACUUAGGCGACGAUCCCUAGCUGGUCUGAGAGGAUGACCAGCCACACUGGAACUGAGACACGGUCCAGACUCCUACGGGAGGCAGCAGUGGGGAAUAUUGCACAAUGGGCGCAAGCCUGAUGCAGCCAUGCCGCGUGUAUGAAGAAGGCCUUCGGGUUGUAAAGUACUUUCAGCGGGGAGGAAGGCGAUAAGGUUAAUAACCUUGUCGAUUGACGUUACCCGCAGAAGAAGCACCGGCUAACUCCGUGCCAGCCGCCGCCGUAA